rnacentral:rRNA from 1 species
AGAGUUUGAUCCUGGCUCAGAUUGAACGCUAGCGGGAUGCUUUACACAUGCAAGUCGGACGGCAGCACGAAGAGCUUGCUCUUUGGUGGCGAGUGGCGAACGGGUGAGUAAUGUAUCGGAACGUGCCCAGUAGCGGGGGAUAACUACGCGAAAGCGUGGCUAAUACCGCAUACGCCCUACGGGGGAAAGGGGGGGAUCGCAAGACCUCUCACUAUUGGAGCGGCCGAUAUCGGAUUAGCUAGUUGGUGGGGUAAAGGCCUACCAAGCCGACGAUCUGUAGCUGGUCUGAGAGGACGACCAGCCACACUGGGACUGAGACACGGCCCAGACUCCUACGGGAGGCAGCAGUGGGGAAUUUUGGACAAUGGGCGAAAGCCUGAUCCAGCCAUGCCGCGUGCAGGAUGAAGGCCUUCGGGUUGUAAACUGCUUUUGUACGGAACGAAAAGGUCUUUUCU